rnacentral:rRNA from 1 species
CGCCUCUUGUAAGACUUUUAAAUAAGAGGUCCCGCCUGCCCUGUGACUAUAAGUUUAACGGCCGCGGUAUUUUGACCGUGCGAAGGUAGCGCAAUCACUUGUCUUUUAAAUGGAGACCUGUAUGAAUGGCAUAACGAGGGCUUAACUGUCUCCUCUUUCAAGUCAAUGAAAUUGAUCUCCCCGUGCAGAAGCGGGGGUAACAACAUAAGACGAGAAGACCCUAUGAAGCUUUAGAUACGGGGCAGAUCAUGUUAAACACUCCUUGAUAAAGGACAAAACCAAAUGAACCCUGCCCUAAUGUCUUUGGUUGGGGCGACCGCGGGGAAACAAAAAACCCCCACGUGGAAUGGGAGCACUCCCUCCUACAACUAAGAGCUGCUGCUCAAGUUAACAGAAUUUUCUGACCAAUAAGAUCCGGCAACGCCGAUCAACGGACCGAGUUACUCUAGGGAUAACAGCGCAAUCCCCUUUUAGAGCCCAUAUCGACAAGGGGGUUUACGACCUCGAUGUUGGAUCAGGACAUCCUAAUGGUGCAGCCACUAUUAAGGGUUCGUUUGUUCAACGAUUAAAGUCCU